UACGUAGGGGGCAAGCGUUAUCCAGAUUUACUGGGCGUAAAGCGCGUGUAGGCGGCUGGUUAGGUGUGAUGUGAAAUCUUCCGGCUCAACCGGAAAACUGCAUUGCAAACCGGCCUGGCUAGAGUGCAGGAGAGGGAAGCGGAAUUCCAGGUGUAGCGGUGAAAUGCGUAGAUAUCUGGGGGAACACCAGUGGCGAAGGCGGCUUCCUGGCCUGCAACUGACGCUGAGACGCGAAAGCGUGGGGAGCGAACCGG
rnacentral:rRNA from 1 species